rnacentral:rRNA from 1 species
GAUGAACGCUGGCGGCGUGCCUAAUACAUGCGAGUCGAGCGAACAGACGAGGAGCUUGCUCCUCCGACGUUAGCGGCGGACGGGUGAGUAACACGUGGAUAACCUACCUAUAAGACUGGGAUAACUUCGGGAAACCGGAGCUAAUACCGGAUAAUAUAUUGAACCGCAUGGUUCAAUAGUGAAAGACGGUUUUGCUGUCACUUAUAGAUGGAUCCGCGCCGCAUUAGCUAGUUGGUAAGGUAACGGCUUACCAAGGCAACGAUGCGUAGCCGACCUGAGAGGGUGAUCGGCCACACUGGAACUGAGACACGGUCCAGACUCCUACGGGAGGCAGCAGUAGGGAAUCUUCCGCAAUGGGCGAAAGCCUGACGGAGCAACGCCGCGUGAGUGAUGAAGGUCUUCGGAUCGUAAAACUCUGUUAUUAGGGAAGAACAAAUGUGUAAGUAACUAUGCACGUCUUGACGGUACCUAAUCAGAAAGCCACGGCUAACUACGUG